rnacentral:rRNA from 1 species
UACGAAGGGGGCUAGCGUUGUUCGGAAUUACUGGGCGUAAAGCGCGUGUAGGCGGGUCCUUAAGUCAGGGGUGAAAUGCCGAGGCUCAACCCUCGGAACUGCCUUUGAUACUGAGGACCUUGAGUUCGGGAGAGGUGAGUGGAACUGCGAGUGUAGAGGUGAAAUUCGUAGAUAUUCGCAAGAACACCAGUGGCGAAGGCGGCUCACUGGCCCGAUACUGACGCUGAGGUGCGAAAGCGUGGGGAGCAAACAGG